CGUGCGCUGGAUUAUGACUG
rnacentral:sRNA from 1 species